rnacentral:rRNA from 1 species
AAGUUGUUGAAGUUAAAAAGCUCAAAGUUGGACUUUGGGAUGGGCCAGCCGGUCCGCCUUUGGUGAGCACCGGUCGUCACGUCCCUUCUGCCGGCGAUGCGCUCCUGGCCUUAGCUAGCCGGGUCAUGCCUCCGGUGCUGUUACUUUGAAGAAAUUAGAGUGCUCAAAGCAAGCCUACGCUCUGUAUACAUUAGCAUGGAAUAACAUUAUAGGAUUUCGGUCCUAAUACGCUGGCCUUUGGGGUCGGAGUAAUGAUUAACAGGGACAGUCAGGGGCAUUCGUAUUUCAUAGUCAGAGGUGAAAUUCUUGGAUUUAUGAAAGAAGAACAACUGCGAAAGCAUUUGCCAAGGAUGUUUUCAUUAAUCAAGAACAAAAGUUGGGGGCUCGAAGACGAUCAGAUACCUCCUAAUCUCAACAAUAAAUGAUGCCAACCAGGGAUCGGCUGACGUUGCUUUUAGGACUCCGCCGGCACCUUGUGAGAAAUCAAAGUUUUUGGGUUCCG